rnacentral:rRNA from 1 species
UAGCUAGUUGGUGGGGUAAAAGCUCACCAAAGCAACGAUGCGUAGCCGACCUGAGAGGGUGAUCGGCCACACUGGGACUGAGACACGGCCCAGACUCCUACGGGAGGCAGCAGUAGGGAAUCUUCCGCAAUGGACGAAAGUCUGACGGAGCGACGCCGCGUGAGUGAUGAAGGUUUUCGGAUCGUAAAACUCUGUUGUCGGGGAAGAACAAGUAUCGGCCUAAUACGCCGGUACCUUGACGGUACCUGAUUAGAAAGCCCCGGCUAACUACGUGCCAGCAGCCGCGGUAAUACGUAGGGGGCGAGCGUUGUCCGGAAUUAUUGGGCGUAAAGCGCGCGCAGGCGGUCUUUUAAGUCUGAUGUGAAAUCUUACGGCUUAACCGUAAGCGGUCAUUGGAAACUGGGAGACUUGAGUGCAGAAGAGGAGAGUGGAAUUCCACGUGUAGCGGUGAAAUGCGCAGAGAUGUGGAGGAACACCAGUGGCGAAGGCGGCUCUCUGGUCUGUAACUGACGCUGAGGCGCAAAAGCGUGGGUAGCAAACAGGAUUAGAUACCCUGGUAGUCCACGCCGUAAACGAUGAGUGCUAGGUGUCAAGGGGUUUCCGCCCCAUGGUGCUGCAG